UACGUAGGUGGCAAGCGUUGUCCGGAUUUAUUGUGCGUAAAGCGCGCGCAGGCGGUCCUUUAAGUCUGAUGUGAAAUCUUGCGGCUCAACCGCAAGCGGUCAUUGGAAACUGGGGGACUUGAGUACAGAAGAGGAAAGCGGAAUUCCACGUGUAGCGGUGAAAUGCGUAGAGAUGUGGAGGAACACCAGUGGCGAAGGCGGCUUUCUGGUCUGUAACUGACGCUGAGGCGCGAAAGCGUGGGGAGCAAACAGG
rnacentral:rRNA from 1 species